CAUGAAGCUGGAAUCGCUAGUAAUCGCAGAUCAGAAUGCUGCGGUGAAUACGUUCCCGGGUCUUGUACACACCGCCCGUCACACCAUGGGAGUUGGGAAUGCCCGAAGUCAGCGACCCAACCGCAAGGAGGGAGCUGCCGAAGGCAGGCUUGAUAACUGGGGUGAAGUCGUAACAAGGUAUC
rnacentral:rRNA from 1 species